GCAAGCUUGGCAAAGGUUGUUGAUUUCGGUCUUUCGAGAUUUGUAUUCACAGCUUUUGAUUCUUGAUCACAAGCUGCUGUUGGACGAUCAUGACUCGUGGGGGUUAGAUGUUUAUGGUGAAUCAAUAUGAUGUUGCAUGACACACUGUCCUCGCAUUACGGUAAAUAAUAUUUGAAAGAUUUCUAUAUUGAAGGAAGCAUGGAUUUCUAAUGCUUAAGUUUCCAAUUAGAUAUGAAGGUGACAAGGGGCUUAUGAUAGAUCAAGAGGAAACAAAAUGAAUUGGUAAUGAUAUUUUUUAUAUUGUUGUAAUCAUGUGGCAGGAAUGAAGAGUUUUUUAUUCCUGACUGUCAUGUUAAUCCAUUUCUGAUUGUGAAAGCAGUUUAUUUUAUGAUCCCUUUGCCAAUAAAAUUUAUGAUUAUGCCAAUGGAAUUGCUGCUUUGAGGUCCUUAAAGGUAAUUUCUUUUUUUAUUUGUCAAAGAAUUUUUUGCCUUCACUAUUGAAAGUAUGUUGAUAUAUGUGUUAUGCUUGGUCAUAUGUAUUCAUCUAGAAACCAUGAUCCUAACUCAGCUGUCAUUUAAAGAUUAUCCUGGUAGGUAGGAUCAUACUUUAAUCAGCAUUUUAAAAUUAGGAGCUCUGAACAUAUUGAUAAACAUCCACUAUGAAAAUGAAGUUGCUUUUGAAAUCUCCCUACAGGGAGCAUUUUGCAUGGAUUCAGAAUUGCCGGUCAUCUAGGUUUAUCAUUAUCUAGGG